AGUGAACGCUGGCGGUAGGCCUAACACAUGCAAGUCGAACGGCAGCACAGUAAGAGCUUGCUCUUACGGGUGGCGAGUGGCGGACGGGUGAGGAAUACAUCGGAAUCUACUUUUUCGUGGGGGAUAACGUAGGGAAACUUAUGCUAAUACCGCAUACGACCUACGGGUGAAAGCAGGGGAUCUUCGGACCUUGCGCGAUUGAAUGAGCCGAUGUCGGAUUAGCUAGUUGGCGGGGUAAGGGCACACCAAGGCGACGAUCCGUAGCUGGUCUGAGAGGAUGAUCAGCCACACUGGAACUGAGACACGGUCCAGACUCCUACGGGAGGCAGCAGUGGGGAAUAUUGGACAAUGGGCGCAAGCCUGAUCCAGCCAUACCGCGUGGGUGAAGAAGGCCUUCGGGUUGUAAAGCCCUUUUGUUGGGAAAGAAAAGCAGCAGGUUAAUACCCCGCUGUUCUGACGGUACCCAAAGAAUAAGCACCGGCUAACUUCGUG
rnacentral:rRNA from 1 species